rnacentral:rRNA from 1 species
CUACGGGCGGCUGCAGUGGGGAAUAUUGCACAAUGGAGGAAACUCUGAUGCAGCAACGCCGCGUGGAGGAUGACACUUUUCGGAGCGUAAACUCCUUUUAUAUAGGAAGAAGAUGACGGUACUAUAUGAAUAAGCGCCGGCUAACUCCGUGCCAGCAGCCGCGGUAAUACGGAGGGCGCAAGCGUUACUCGGAAUCACUGGGCGUAAAGAGCGUGUAGGCGGAUUAAAAAGUCAGAAGUGAAAUCCUAUAGCUUAACUAUAGAACUGCUUCUGAAACUCUUAAUCUAGAAUAUGGGAGAGGUAGAUGGGAUUUCUGGUGUAGGGGUAAAAUCCGUAGAGAUCAGAAGGAAUACCGAUUGCGAAGGCGAUCUACUGGAACAUUAUUGACGCUGAGACGCGAAAGCGUGGGGAGCAAACAGGAUUAGAUACCCCAGUAGUC